rnacentral:tRNA from 1 species
AUCUUUCAAGUAUACAACGUUUGUACGUGUGACUUCCAAUCACUAAGUCCUGGUUAAAGUCCGGGGAAAGAUA